rnacentral:rRNA from 1 species
GACGAACGCUGGCUGCGUGCUUAACACAUGCAAGUCGAACGGAAAGGCCCUGCUUUUGUGGGGUGCUCGAGCGGCGAACGGGUGAGUAACACGUGAGUAACCUGCCCUUGACUUUGGGAUAACUUCAGGAAACUGGGGCUAAUACCGGAUAGGAGCUCCUGCUGCAUGGUGGGGGUUGGAAAGUUUCGGCGGUUGGGGAUGGACUCGCGGCUUAUCAGCUUGUUGGUGGGGUAGUGGCUUACCAAGGCUUUGACGGGUAGCCGGCCUGAGAGGGUGACCGGCCACAUUGGGACUGAGAUACGGCCCAGACUCCUACGGGAGGCAGCAGUGGGGAAUAUUGCACAAUGGGCGGAAGCCUGAUGCAGCAACGCCGCGUGCGGGAUGACGGCCUUCGGGUUGUAAACCGCUUUCGCCUGUGACGAAGCGUGAGUGACGGUAAUGGGUAAAGAAGCACCGGCUAACUACGUG